rnacentral:tRNA from 1 species
GCAAUGGUGGUUCAGUAGUAGAAUUUUCACCUUCCACGCUGGAAACCUAGGUUCAAUUCCCGGCCAACGCA